CCAGAGCGGGAGGAGCCUCAUC
rnacentral:miRNA from 1 species